AGUGAACGCUGGCGGUAGGCCUAACACAUGCGAGUCGAACGGCAGCACAAUAAGAGCUUGCUCUUACGGGUGGCGAGUGGCGGACGGGUGAGGAAUACAUCGGAAUCUACUUUUUCGUGGGGGAUAACGUAGGGAAACUUACGCUAAUACCGCAUACGACCUACGGGUGAAAGCAGGGGAUCUUCGGACCUUGCGCGAUUGAAUGAGCCGAUGUCGGAUUAGCUAGUUGGCGGGGUAAAGGCCCACCAAGGCGACGAUCCGUAGCUGGUCUGAGAGGAUGAUCAGCCACACUGGAACUGAGACACGGUCCAGACUCCUACGGGAGGCAGCAGUGGGGAAUAUUGGACAAUGGGCGCAAGCCUGAUCCAGCCAUACCGCGUGGGUGAAGAAGGCCUUCGGGUUGUAAAGCCCUUUUGUUGGGAAAGAAAAGCAGCAGGUUAAUACCCCGCUGUUCUGACGGUACCCAAAGAAUAAGCACCGGCUAACUUCGUG
rnacentral:rRNA from 1 species